UUUACUGACAGUUGGGAUCCUGCUCCCCCGCCACAAUGCCGUUGCCAGAAAUCCGAUUUGGUCAUGAUACAGACGUCCAAACCCCGACAGUUGGCGUCCCGACCUAUCCCAGCUAGGUUCCUGGACAUUGUCUUUCUUGUUUGCCCCAUCCUCAGAUUAGACAAUGACAAUCCAGUAUUUUAUUGUCUUCGACAGAAACUGGGCUACCCUAAUACAAUAGGAGUAAACAAAGCCCCAGCACGCCAGCUGGUCGGACUGGUGUCGGGUCGCUUCCUGAGGGUGUAGUGACGUCAGGACCGGAAACCGGGCAGCGUGGUUGGUGGCGGCGGUGAGGACCUCCUACUAGAUAGGACUCAAGGCACUCAACAGAAUUAACAAUACAGUACAAAAACAAUGAAGAACAGAAAAGCUUUUCGAAAAAUACAGAGAGCAUGGAGAUAUUAAAGGGACAAUUAUGGAAAGUCUUGAGUUCAUUUUUGAAGGAUUCUAGAGUGGGGGCCUCUGGAAAUGUAUGGGGAAGUGAGUUCCAUAGAGUUGGAGCCAUGUGGCUAAAAGCUCAGCCCAGAUGAAUUACGGGAGAUUCUAGGUACUGCUUAUAGUCCUUCAUCUACAGAUCACCGUAAUUGAGUGGGGCAGUAUGGAAUCAGAAACUGCUUCAGGUACCUUGGGCCCUGGUCAUGUAGUGCUAUGAAAGUCAGCAUUUAUGUGUUUCUUAUGAAUGCAUAAGUCAGGCAAUCCAAUUGCAGGGUUCCUGUCUUAAGGUGUGUACACAAGGAGCGAUAUGGCUCAGCGAUGUUGACUAUAUAGUCAAAUUACUAAGAAAGUUAGUGUAUGUCGCUCUGUGUGUACACAGCCAGCGAUAGCGAUGCGCAUUCCCGCCAGGUCGCUAUCGCUGGGAAAAAUAGACAGUGCAGGCAAGUCAGCUUCAACUAUGUCGCUGUAAAAGUGAAAACAUCCCCCUAUGUAUAUGAGUUAGUCAAAAUCGCCCAUAGCCAAAAUCGCUUGCACACUUAGUCAAAAUCGCUGGCAAAGUUAGCCAAAAUCUCCUACUGCCAGUUCGAGGUAAAUCGCUCAUAGUCAAAAUCGCUCCGUCAGGUCAGUAUGUUGGGAGUCCAAUUAAAAGGGAACGCUAUGUGAAAUGCAUUUUCUCUAUCACUUGGAUCUUACCUCUGCGUAACCCGUAACUAAUACCAUCAUCUCCCCAAUUGCCCCCAGUAGAACAUCCAAAGUUCUACUCACAAAGCCAGUGACUUCACUAUAACAACAUUUACUUAAACAUAGGUGUAGGACAUCACAUUUUAUACAGGUUUUAGUGUCUAACAAUAAAUAGAUAUUAUUUGCCACCAAUCUACCUGUAAAUUAGUGAUGUCUUCUCCCAUUUCGGAUUUCCAGGAAAAAGACUGAACCUUUUCACAUCGGGGACUCCACACCUGGGUUUCAGCAUAACUUGCAACGUUUCCUUGUUAACUUUACCGGUGACGUCAAGGCCAAAAAAAGUCUGCAUGUCCUUGAUUUUAUCUUCAUUUUUUUUGGCCAGUGUCCUGGCCCUAGUAGCUUCAGAGUAGAAUUGUUCUAGAUAUUCCUGUUAAAAAUAAAUAUAUUUUUGUUUUAA